rnacentral:rRNA from 1 species
UAACUGCGAGUGAAGCGGCAAAAGCUCAAAUUUGAAAUCGGUGUCCAUAAAGUACAUCGAGUUGUAAUUUGGAGGGACAACUUCGGGCCGAACCACACCGUAAGUUUUUUGGAACAGGACAUCAUAGAGGGUGAGAAUCCCGUGUCUUGGUGUAGGGUCAAAUGUGAAGUGUCUCCGACGAGUCGAGUUGUUUGGGAAUGCAGCUCAAAAUGGGUGGUAAAUUUCAUCUAAAGCUAAAUAUUGGCGAGAGACCGAUAGCGCACAAGUAGAGUGAUCGAAAGAUGAAAAGCACUUUGAAAAGAGAGUUAAAAAGUACGUGAAAUUGUUGAAAGGGAAGCGCUUGCGACCAGACUCGAUCUUUGGAGAUCAGCCGGGCUUCGGUUCGGUGCCCUCUUCAUUGAUUGGGCCAGCAUCGGUUCCGGCGGUGGGAUAAAAGGAGGAGGAAUGUGGCUCCCCUCGGGGAGUGUUAUAGCCACCUUCACAAUGCUACCAGUUGGGACCGAGGACCGCGCUUCGGCUAGGAUGCUGGUGUAAUGGUCUUAAGCGA